UAUUAAAUUCUGUGUGGGCCAGGUAAUAAUUCACAGAAGAUUUGGCUACUCAGGAGUCAUUGUUGGAUGGGAUGUAAAAGCUAACACUCCAGAAGAACAACUACAACCCAGAUAUCCUCCAGUGAAACAGGAUCUAAAAGAUACUCCUCACUAUCGAAUUCUAAUUAACAAAGCAAAUGGAUUUGGCAAAUCUACAGCUUAUGUUUCUGAGGAAGAGAUAACAGUUAUUACGGGAUUAGAGGUGUAUCACCCUGAUAUGGAAACCUACUUCAGUGGAUAUGAUGGAUCAAAAUACAUUAUGCAGCCAUGGCUGAAAAAACUCUACCCUCAUGACUGAGUACUUCAGUGUCUGUACAUGUAACGUACACCCAGAUAACAGAUGUCCUUUUGAAAACUGAGCAAACAGGCACCAGGAUAAAAUGUAUAUUUUUUUUCCUAUGAUGAAAUAAAACAUUCCUAA